UACGUAGGUGGCAAGCGUUGUCCGGAUUUACUGGGCGUAAAGAGCGCGCAGGCGGUCGUUCAAGUCGCGUGUGAAAGCCCCCGGCUCAACUGGGGAGGGUCACGCGAUACUGAUCGACUCGAAGGCAGGAGAGGGUAGUGGAAUUCCCGGUGUAGUGGUGAAAUGCGUAGAUAUCGUAAGGAAGACCAGUGGCGAAGGCGGGUCUCUGGACCAGCACUGACACUGAGGCACGAAAGCGUGGGGAGCAAACAGG
rnacentral:rRNA from 1 species